rnacentral:rRNA from 1 species
CCUACGGGACGCAGCAGUGAGGAAUAUUGGUCAAUGGGCGCGAGCCUGAACCAGCCAAGUCGCGUGAGGGAAGACGGUCCUAUGGAUUGUAAACCUCUUUUGUCGGGGAGCAAAAAGGCCUCGUGAGGUCACAAGUGAGAGUACCCGAAGAAAAAGCAUCGGCUAACUCCGUGCCAGCAGCCGCGGUAAUACGGAGGAUGCGAGCGUUAUCCGGAUGUAUUGGGUUUAAAGGGUGCGUAGGCGGACUGGAAAGUCAGCGGUAAAAUCGAGAG